UACAGAGACCUCGAGCGUUUUCCGGAAUCAUUGGGCGUAGAGCGUCCGCAAACGGUUAUGCGCGUCGGACCUGAAAUUCGGUGGCUCAACCACCGACGCGGGUUCGAUACGGUAUAGCUAGAGAGUUGGAGAGGCUGAUGGAAUUCCCGGUGUAGCAGUGAAAUGCGUUAAUAUCGGAAGGAACUCCGGCGGCGAAAGCGAUGCACUGGCUGAUUUCUGACGCUGAGGUGCGAAAGCCAGGGGAGCAAACGGG
rnacentral:rRNA from 1 species